CCUGUUUUUUGGCAGGAAAAGACCCAGAACCAGGGAGCUGGAUCUUCAUGUCCUCAAACGACAGAAGUUGAAAGCAGGUGGCUCUCCAAGCAGGAGAAGGUGAAGCUCCAGGGUGAAACCCCAGCAGAGGGCAGCCAGGGGCACGUCAGGGAGGAGCUGCGCUGAUGUCUGGAAGGAUGGCAGGAGGAGGAGGAACCCGGCAGCACAGCCUUCCUGAAGUUCCUGGCUUGGGCUCACGGGGGAGCUGGGUCCACUCUCAGAGAAGAAAAUGGGAAAAGACAAGAAAGUCAAGUCUCUGCCGACAGAGCCUGGGUCUUGCUCCAGCCGCUAGCGUGAGUUUGGUGGCCUUGAGAAUGCCCCUCACUCCCCUGUUCUCUCGAGCUCCACACUUGGGUAAGCACUUCUCGUGUGACAAUCCCUGAGCCCUGCAGUGUGUGGGACCCAGAGACGAGGCAGCCCGGCCCAGCUCUUGAGUUCCCCCAGCGGGGUAAGAGGAGAGGGGUGCGAAUAUUGAGUCUUCAAG
rnacentral:lncRNA from 1 species